UACGUAGGGUGCGAGCGUUAAUCGGAAUUACUGGGCGUAAAGCGUGCGCAGGCGGUUUUGUAAGCCAGGUGUGAAAUCCCCGGGCUCAACCUGGGAAUGGCAUUUGGGACUGCAAGGCUGGAGUGUGGCAGAGGAGACUGGAAUUCCUGGUGUAGCAGUGAAAUGCGUAGAUAUCAGGAAGAACACCCGUGGCGAAGGCGGCUCUCUGGGACGGUACUGACGCUGAGACGCGAAAGCGUGGGGAGCGAACCGG
rnacentral:rRNA from 1 species